rnacentral:tRNA from 1 species
CAGAUUAUAGUUUAUUUAAAACACUAGCUUUGGGAGUUAGCAAUCGGGCCACCGUAAUCUGA